AGCAUGUAUGCUUUGUAUUUCGUUCCAUUCUGCGCAGCUGUGGCGCGGUAUAGUAAUCCAAAUCAAGUUCACUACAGCCGAGACCAUCCGCAACAGCUCCGUAUAGCUUAUUCUGAACAGCAGUGCCGGCCACUUAAGGGCGAGGCCAAUGAACUGUGUCAGGCAAGCUUUAUGUGCUAUGGGUAUAUGAAGCUUGAACAAGCCACCUGUGUUCCAAUGUUGUCUCAGAAAACAAUCGUCCAGCGUUUCCAGAAAGUACGUCAGGGCUUCUUUUCACUUGCGCAAAAUAGAAGAAGUACCGAAGUGCUCCUUAACAAUGCACGUGCGCACUGAAUAAAGCUUAGUGGCGUUCUUUUCA
rnacentral:lncRNA from 1 species